rnacentral:misc_RNA from 1 species
GAUGAAGAACGUAGCGAAUUGCGAUAUGUAAUGUGAAUUGCAGAUUUUCAGUGAAUCAUCGAAUCUUUGAACGCACCUUGCGCCCCUUGGUAUUCCGAGGGGCAUGCCUGUUCGAGCGUCAUUUUGACCACUCCCGCUUGCGGGGUCUUGGGCCUUCGCCUCUGGGCGGGCCUUAAAAUCAGUGGCGGUGCCGUCCGGCUCUAAGCGUAGUAAAUCUCCUCGCUAUAGGGUUCCGGAGGGAUGCUGGCCAACAACCCCCAACUUUUAAGGUUGACCUCGGAUCAGGUAGGGAUACCCGCUGAACUUAAGCAUAUCAAUAAGCGGAGGA